AUAAGGUGCUUCUUUCCAGCAUGCUGGCUAUGAUCGUGAGUGUGGUACAAGGACCCAGCUCAGGAGUUAGUCUUCUAUUAAUGCUGUGUUAUUCCCUAGGCUCAGUGUGUACCAAACUGAGAAGAACACAUGGGUUAUGGUCUAGGGAGCUUAUAGUCUAAGCCCCCGAUCCUGCAACUUGUUCUGUGUGGAUGCCCUGGUACCUGCCUGGAGCCCCAAAUGAAAGCAGUGGGCAUCGGCUUGGGUGUCGGAGUCGGUCUGUCUGGAACAAGAUGUAGGACUGAGCCCUAAAUUAUACAAGCAGCACAGCCCAAAUACAAUGUCACUCAUCUGUUAAACAUGCCUAGGACAUAGAUGUCGCAGAGCCGGAAGACCAACUCUUCCAGUUCAAGAAAGAUUUGGUAUAAUCUGUAAAACAAAAAUUUUGUCUCCCUAAUCAGUUCCCUCAUUUCUUUAUGCAGCAAGGAAACCUGCAUUCCUCUGGAUGACUGGUGAUUAUCUGACAGCUUCUCUGGACCUCCUAUGGAGAAAGAUGAAAACAUUGUUGAUAGGCUGCAAAUACUUCUAUCUAAUGCAGUGAGCUAGAAACUUAACGAUGAUCCCUAGAGGUUAGGCAGUGAGAUUAGAAAGCUGGGCAGAGAAUAAUUUCAUCUUCCUAAAAUGUCUAAGCCUGAGAUGCAUCAAACACCCACUAUUCCUUCAGCUUCAACGGGGAUAGGGCUGGAUUUAGGUAUGAGCACUAUAGGCUCCUAUCCUGGAAUUGUGUGAGUACAUCAGAAUCCAGCUUUCCUUUAAAAAAAAAAAAAAAAAAAAAAAGUGAGUUUCUAGCCCUUAUGGCCAGGAAGAAAAGCUUGAAAAGUGACCUGAGUAUAAAUGAUGCAGUGAUGUCUGUCUGCAUCUGCAGGCCACCUGAAACAAUAGCUCUCAGAUGGGUGAAGAGUCCCAUGCAUCUCAAUGGAGUGUUAACUCCCAGCCCACAGGUCUGGAGAUCCUGCAGAGGGAUCUGUCUGGCAGGAGGCCCGCCUACCCUCCCACCCAAGUAGCGACAGCCUGGCUGCCAGGAUAAGCAAUGGGGACCCCCUAUUGCUGCCACCUCUAGUGCUUCUGAGUGGGUGGGGAGCCUCUGCUGCCACUCCUAAGCAGAGAGAGGCCCUAUGUUGCCGCCCCUGUGAAGGGAAAGGGCCCUGUCCCACUGCUACUCCAAGGAGGCUGGGCUGUCAGGGUAAAGCCAUAGGGACCCCAUGUUGUGCUGUGCCUAGAGUUUGGAAUUCUCUUAGUCUGGGGGUUGUGGAUGCUCGCUAAAUUCAGGCCCGUGCUAUGGAUUAUGAGGUGAAGAGUGAAGAUAUGAAAGACAGCCUGCUGUGGUUUAACAGCUAUACCGAUUAGAAGGGUAGGUAAAAUUCAUUGUGCACAAUGUCCUUUUCUGUGCAAGGUAAAUGGUGCAUGGGCCUUGUGCCCGCUCUCUGUAUCAGGGUGAAUUUCACCCAUUGCCUUAUCAGCAGGUUUCAGAGCCCUUCACAAAGUGAAGUAUCAGGACCCUCCCACUUCAAGGAUGGAGAAACUGAGGUGUAGAGAGACCGUGAGUUGCUAGGUUACGCAGCACGUUAGCAGCAGACGGCCUGAUCCAACGCUUGUUGAAAUCAGUGGGAGUCCUUCCAUUGAUGUCAGUGGUCUUUAGAUUAGGGCCAGAGUGAGGAAUAGCACCUAGGAACCCUGAUUCCCUGUCCUGCAUGCUAUUCUCCCAAUCAUGCUGACUACCCCUGCUGUGUUUAUUAAAGGGAUCCCAUGAAGGGAGAUUUAAGAGCAGUCUAGCCCUCUCAGAAGCCAGACGGCUUUUCACUAUCCGCUCUAAAGCUGCUGUUUUCAGUGCAGCUCUGUCUGCUGAUGGUCCCAGCACAGCUCUUGUCUUCAGACAUGCUGAGAUGUAAUUAGUCUAGCAGGUGUCCAGUACUGCAGCUUGUUAAUAAGAAUCCCUAAGAUAAUGCCGUAAGCGUGUAUGAUGCUUUCAGAAGAAGGGUACAUUUCCUGCCCCUGAAAAGCUCUCAAUUGCCUUCUAUCCUAGGCAACUUUUAGCAUCUCACAUAGGUUCCGUCUUACCCCAUGUGCAUACACUCGGCAAUAAUUAGUUUGCUGGAUUCACAAAGAAUUUCUCGAACGUCCCCUCCGCUGUAAAGCUAUAACUUCCUCAGAAAAAUAAUCCAAGUUCAAAGUCUCCAUUUUUAAACUGAAUUAAGGUAACCAGGUUUCUCACUUUGCAACUUUUGUCCAUCAGAGCAUCUUUGUCCUGCGUAGCACUCCACGCAGGUUCAACACCUGGCACAGGCUUUGGAGUAGAGCUGGCUGGAAUUCUGAAAUUUCAAAAAAAAUAGGUCAUUUCUACAUGGAAGAUCCAGUAAAGUCUACAAGUGUAGGACAUCAAUGGAAAAGGAGGGAAAAGAGACACAGGUGUUUUUUCUUCAAGCCUUGUGAUUUAUACGGGACCUCCAGGAAUGACCCACAUCCUGAGGCAUUUGCUCAUUCUUAGCCCAACUUUUUAUCUGGCCGGCUGCCUGAGAGCAAAAAUCUUUCUAUAAUAUAAAGAACAGGGACAUAACCGAGAGGAAGGCCGAUCUCGACAGAACCUGCAAACGCCUGAGCUUGACGAUUGGUAACCACGGCAACAGGGCCUCCUUUGAAAUAAUUGUUUGUUACAGAUCCCCAUUUUGUGCGGAGAACUGGUCAGCAUUAAAAAUUGGAGAAGACAAGGAAAGGUCUAUGAGGCAAGCAAAGGCAUCAGCCUGGCCUAUCGGAACUGGCUGCCACCCAGCUGAGUAAAUUAAAGCUGGCACUGCCCGGGGGAGCAGUGUUAAAUGGUGGUUUGACGAUGCCCAGCAAAUGGCUAAGCAGGCUGCUGCAGGUCCUCAACUUUUUGAGUGAGGAAAAGAAAGAUUUAGCAACCCAAAGUGCCCACGUAAGAGUGAAAGGGACCACGUGCAGCUCUCGUGUGAAUCCACUGGAGUUACUCCAGAUUUACGUUGUUGUAAUGGCAAGCAGAAUCCAGCCCAAGGCCUUUGCCGUAUGGAAAACUGCUACAGGCUCUGAUUCUGGGUUGCUCUGCUUGGCAUGGGAACAAUGGGGAGGGGUUUUUAUAAACCACCUUGUGCUCCCCAUGAUCUGGAGAAGGUUGGGGUCCUGCCGUGCCCAUGUGUAAAUUAGGUCAGCCUUAGGGCUGCUAUAAUUUACACUCUGCUCCCCAUGCACCCUUAGCACAGUGCUCUGGCUACAUUCCCCUUUGUCCCCCUCAAAUGUCCCCUUCCUCUGAUCGUCCCGGCCCAUCCCCGACACGACCCUUAUACUGAGUGGGGAAGAAGUCUUGUGCUGGCUUUAUACGGGGCAGUGAGGCCCAUUGCACGGGGGUAAUUCCUGAGGUGCAUCUCCCGUGGCUUUCUGACCCCCUUGUGCUGCUGGAGAGGAGCAUCGAGGCCAAUCACAACUGAGAAUAGGACCGAUAGAAUUUAACAUCAACAGUCUUUUUGAUGGUGUUUUUAAA